AUUGAACGCUGGCGGCAUGCUUUACACAUGCAAGUCGAACGGCAGCACGGGGACAACCCUGGUCUCGCGUUGCGAACGGGUGGGUAAUACAUCGGUGCAUGCCCUGUCUUUGGGGCUAACGUAGCUAAAGUUACCCGAAUACCGCAUCCGAUCUUAUGAUGAAACGGGGGGACCUUUAGUCCUCGCCGGAUCGGAUGUCCCUAUUUCAUAUUAGGUAGUUGGUUUGGUAAAUGCCUACCAAGCCGACUAUCCGUAGCUAGGCUGAGAGGACGACCAGCCACACUGGGACUGAGACACGGCCCAGACUCCUACGGGAGGCAGCAGUAGGGAAUUUUGGGCAAUGGGCGGAAGCCUGAUCCAGCAAUGCCGCGUGAAGGACGAAGGUCUUCGGGUUGUAAAAUGCUUUUGUUUGGAAAGAAAAAGCUCUGGAUAAAACCUGGGGGUCAUGACGGUAACGUAAGAAUAAGCCCCGGCUAACUACGUG
rnacentral:rRNA from 1 species